rnacentral:tRNA from 1 species
AAAGCUUUAAGUUAAGAAAACUAUUAACCUUCAAAGUUAAAAUUACAUUAAUAAUUUGUAAGCUUUA